rnacentral:misc_RNA from 1 species
CAGAGAACCUGCCCUUCGGGGUAGAUCUCCCACCCUUUGCUUACCAUACCUUUGUUGCUUUGGCAGGCCCGUCCUCCGGGACCGCCGGCUUCGGCUGGCCCGCGCCUGCCAGAGGACCCCAAACUCUGUUUAAUUGUCGUCUGAGUACCAAAUUUAAUAGUUA